UGCUUUUAUGAGUUCUUUCUGAAGCCUUGAUUUUUAUUUUGAUUCAGAUUUAGUACGUACCUGAGCACGUGCUACUUGCCAAGCACUGGAGUAUACAUUAUAUCUUAAUGUUACCAGGUUCUCAAGAACAAGACAGGGCUGGAGCCUGCCCACGUUGAGAUGCUGGAACUAGAGACGGUAAAGCAACCUAUACACUCAGCCAGGGUGCGCCCCAGGUUCUCAGACUCCAGGCGUCAGGCUGGUCCCAGAUCCUCUAGCCUUUUUCUCGUUCCCAUGAAACAGCUUACAUACCAGCGUUCAUUCUGCCUACAGUGCCAGCAAGAGUAAGGUCAGAUGUCCCAAGAGUGCCCUGCCCUUUCUAAGUAGUAAUGGC
rnacentral:lncRNA from 1 species